rnacentral:rRNA from 1 species
GUCCGGAAAACGGGCCAGGCGCGGACUUCGGUCUGGCGGCGAGUGGCGAACGGGUCCAGUAAUGUAUCGGAACGUGCCCAGUAGCGGGGGAUAACUACGCGAAAGCGUAGCUAAUACCGCAUACGCCCUUUGGGGGAAAGCGGGGGACCUUCGGGCCUCGCACUAUUGGAGCGGCCGAUAUCGGAUUAGCUAGUUGGUGGGGUAAAGGCCUACCAAGGCGACGAUCCGUAGCUGGUUUGAGAGGACGACCAGCCACACUGGGACUGAGACACGGCCCAGACUCCUACGGGAGGCAGCAGUGGGGAAUUUUGGACAAUGGGGGCAACCCUGAUCCAGCCAUCCCGCGUGUGCGAUGAAGGCCUUCGGGUUGUAAAGCACUUUUGGCAGGAAAGAAACGGCCUUGGAUAAUACCUGAGGCAACUGACGGUACCUGCAAAAUAAGCACCGGCUAACUACGUGCCAGCAGCCGCGGUAAUACGUAGGGUGCAAGCGUUAAUCGGAAUUACUGGGCGUAAAGCG